UUUCAACCUGGCAAAGCACCCUCUACAACAGGUUUCAAUUUGAAUUAAUCGCGUUAAUGGGUUUUAAUUAUAGAUGGGUGGAGAUUUGGGGAUUCCUACGUUCCCUGAAGAAGACUGGGAGCCCAAUACAAUCACAUGAUAAAAUGGGUUGAUGAAUUUGAACCUUUGAGCUGAUCAUCGAAUGGUAUUCCUUUUGAAUUUGAAUGUUGACAUCUGGGUUUUAAUUCUCUUGGUUUGUUCUGAUCUAUUUGCUGCUUCAUAUUUUGUAGGCAUGGUUUAAGUUGGGUUUCUUAACUUAUCUUUUACUCUCAUGGAUAUCAGGUAGCUGAUUUGUAUGUUUUCUUAUAUAUAAAGGGCAUAAGCUUUUGUAAAUAAUUGUAGCUUGAAUACUGAUGUGUAAUUGACUUAUGUUGCUUUUGAGUUUCAAAUUGGCAGUAGUUUUAUCAGUUUGUACAUGAGUUUUCUUCAAUCUGUAAAAUGCUGUUGCAUUCGGUAAAAUGAUAGUAGUUUCUGUUUAUUGAUUUAAGUUGAGGAUUUUCUUGACACCUGGAUAUAGUUUAUAUGUGUCUGCAAUGAUUCACUGCUUUUGAAGAAUGUCCCUUUUUUUUGCUAUGGUGAAUGUGGUUCCCUCAGCUGUGGUAUUUGGUGUGGAGUGAUUGCAUCAUGUGUUUUAAUGUUGCCAUUGUGUAUGGAGUAACUGUAUUUUUAUCUUCUGGUGUAGUGACCAUGGUCAAAUGAGUACUUGCUUUUAAUUUUGUUAGGGUCAAUACAGUUGCCCUGCAUCUUCAUGGUCAAUGCAUUUUUGUGAUUGAAAAAUUAUUUUGGCAAACAUUAUUUCCCCUGUUUCCUCUUGUCUAUUAUUCUCAUUUUCAGAGGCAUUCAGUAAGCCAUAGGGGUGGCGUUCUUAUGAUGGUGGCAUUCUGUAAGCCAUAGGGGUGGCAUUCUAUUUGUUGUUUUCUUAUGAUGGUGACAAAGUGUGCCGUUCUUAUGAUGUCUCUGUUUGUGUUCUUUACAACCACUAUGUCUGUGUCAUUUACUUUGAG
rnacentral:lncRNA from 1 species